UUGGGGUGCAGGAGGGUCAGUGAAGAGCCCCAUCACCUGGCCGUCGGCAGCGCUGAUGGGAGAGGUAUUUGGGAAGAUGAGAUGCUUUUAGGAAACACACUUAACUGAAGGGAAGAAAUAUAUUUAUUUAUUUAUAUUUUGGGGGUUAUUUUUUUGGGGGGGAAAACUUGGCAGCGCCCAGGGCUAUUCUGGACUCUGUGCUCGCGAGUGACCUCUGGCAGUGCUCAGGGCACCAUAUUUGGUGUCCGGGAUCAAACAGGUCAGCUGUAGGCAAGGGUGAUGUGAACCCCAGAGCUUUCUCGGUGCAUGAGGCCGGAGCUCUGAGAGUUCUUCCCGCCGAGGGGCGUCCCCCGAGUGUCCUGGUAGGGAGAGAUCCCCAUGUUUGGGCAGACAGACCCACACGGCUGUGGCCGAGACCUUGGAACGUCCAACUGUUUCUCAGCUGCACAGUAUUAGUCACCCUGCAGUGUCGCCUGUUGAGGCCAAGGCUGCAUCUGACAUCGAUAAGGCAGCUCUGUGUGGACUCACCACUUUCAAGGGUCCGAUAGCCCCCCGCGGCUAGUGGCGCCUGCGUGGACAGCAGGACCAGGGAAGGAGAUAAUGACAAAGCCAGCAUCCAUCUCCCAGGCAGGCCCAGAUGAUUUGAGUGAAAAGAGAUUCCCUCCCAAUGGGUGUUUGAGCAUUGUAUAACUGAGACUUAAACCUGAAACUUUUGUAACUUUCCACAUGGUGAUUCAAUAAAAAAAUAAAAUUAAAAAAAAAAAAAGAAAGAAAAGAGAUUCCCUCCCAUCCCUGCUCCCUAGCUCGGAGUUCGGGUGUUCGAUUACUCGGCACAGA